rnacentral:rRNA from 1 species
GACGAACCGUGCGAACGUUGUUCGGAUUCACUGGGCUUAAAGGGCGCGUAGGCGGGCCAUCAAGUCAGGGGUGAAAUCUUUCAGCUUAACUGGAAAAGUGCCUUUGAUACUGAUGGCCUCGAGGGAGAUAGGGGCGUGCGGAACUUCCGGUGGAGCGGUGAAAUGCGUAGAUAUCGGAAGGAACGCCGGUGGCGAAAGCGGCGCGCUGGAUCUCUUCUGACGCUGAGGCGCGAAAGCCAGGGGAGCAAACGGG